rnacentral:rRNA from 1 species
ACUAAGCGUACACGGUGGAUGCCCUGGCAGUCAGAGGCGAUGAAGGACGUGCUAAUCUGCGAUAAGCGUCGGUAAGGUGAUAUGAACCGUUAUAACCGGCGAUUUCCGAAUGGGGAAACCCAGUGUGAUUCGUCACACUAUCAUUAACUGAAUCCAUAGGUUAAUGAGGCGAACCGGGGGAACUGAAACAUCUAAGUACCCCGAGGAAAAGAAAUCAACCGAGAUUCCCCCAGUAGCGGCGAGCGAACGGGGAGGAGCCCAGAGCCUGAAUCAGUGUGUGUGUUAGUGGAAGCGUCUGGAAAGGCGCGCGAUACAGGGUGACAGCCCCGUACACAAAAAUGCACAUACUGUGAGCUCGAUGAGUAGGGCGGGACACGUGGUAUCCUGUCUGAAUAUGGGGGGACCAUCCUCCAAGGCUAAAUACUCCUGACUGACCGAUAGUGAACCAGUACCGUGAGGGAAAGGCGAAAAGAACCCCGGCGAGGGGAGUGAAAAAGAACCUGAAACCGUGUACGUACAAGCAGUGGGAGCCUCUUUUAUGGGGUGACUGCGUACCUUUUGUAUAAUGGGUCAGCGACUUAUAUUCUGUAGCAAGGUUAACCGAAUAGGGGAGCCGAAGGGAAACCGAGUCUUAACUGGGCGUUAAGUUGCAGGGUAUAGACCCGAAACCCGGUGAUCUAGCCAUGGGCAGGUUGAAGGUUGGGUAACACUAACUGGAGGACCGAACCGACUAAUGUUGAAAAAUUAGCGGAUGACUUGUGGCUGGGGGUGAAAGGCCAAUCAAACCGGGAGAUAGCUGGUUCUCCCCGAAAGCUAUUUAGGUAGCGCCUCGUGAAUUCAUCUCCGGGGGUAGAGCACUGUUUCGGCAAGGGGGUCAUCCCGACUUACCAACCCGAUGCAAACUGCGAAUACCGGAGAAUGUUAUCACGGGAGACACACGGCGGGUGCUAACGUCCGUCGUGAAGAGGGAAACAACCCAGACCGCCAGCUAAGGUCCCAAAGUCAUGGUUAAGUGGGAAACGAUGUGGGAAGGCCCAGACAGCCAGGAUGUUGGCUUAGAAGCAGCCAUCAUUUAAAGAAAGCGUAAUAGCUCACUGGUCGAGUCGGCCUGCGCGGAAGAUGUAACGGGGCUAAACCAUGCACCGAAGCUGCGGCAGCGACACUGUGUGUUGUUGGGUAGGGGAGCGUUCUGUAAGCCUGUGAAGGUGUGCUGUGAGGCAUGCUGGAGGUAUCAGAAGUGCGAAUGCUGACAUAAGUAACGAUAAAGCGGGUGAAAAGCCCGCUCGCCGGAAGACCAAGGGUUCCUGUCCAACGUUAAUCGGGGCAGGGUGAGUCGACCCCUAAGGCGAGGCCGAAAGGCGUAGUCGAUGGGAAACAGGUUAAUAUUCCUGUACUUGGUGUUACUGCGAAGGGGGGACGGAGAAGGCUAUGUUGGCCGGGCGACGGUUGUCCCGGUUUAAGCGUGUAGGCUGGUUUUCCAGGCAAAUCCGGAAAAUCAAGGCUGAGGCGUGAUGACGAGGCACUACGGUGCUGAAGCAACAAAUGCCCUGCUUCCAGGAAAAGCCUCUAAGCAUCAGGUAACAUCAAAUCGUACCCCAAACCGACACAGGUGGUCAGGUAGAGAAUACCAAGGCGCUUGAGAGAACUCGGGUGAAGGAACUAGGCAAAAUGGUGCCGUAACUUCGGGAGAAGGCACGCUGAUAUGUAGGUGAAGUCCCUCGCGGAUGGAGCUGAAAUCAGUCGAAGAUACCAGCUGGCUGCAACUGUUUAUUAAAAACACAGCACUGUGCAAACACGAAAGUGGACGUAUACGGUGUGACGCCUGCCCGGUGCCGGAAGGUUAAUUGAUGGGGUCAGCGCAAGCGAAGCUCUUGAUCGAAGCCCCGGUAAACGGCGGCCGUAACUAUAACGGUCCUAAGGUAGCGAAAUUCCUUGUCGGGUAAGUUCCGACCUGCACGAAUGGCGUAAUGAUGGCCAGGCUGUCUCCACCCGAGACUCAGUGAAAUUGAACUCGCUGUGAAGAUGCAGUGUACCCGCGGCAAGACGGAAAGACCCCGUGAACCUUUACUAUAGCUUGACACUGAACAUUGAGCCUUGAUGUGUAGGAUAGGUGGGAGGCUUUGAAGUGUGGACGCCAGUCUGCAUGGAGCCGACCUUGAAAUACCACCCUUUAAUGUUUGAUGUUCUAACGUGGACCCGUGAUCCGGGUUGCGGACAGUGUCUGGUGGGUAGUUUGACUGGGGCGGUCUCCUCCUAAAGAGUAACGGAGGAGCACGAAGGUUGGCUAAUCCUGGUCGGACAUCAGGAGGUUAGUGCAAUGGCAUAAGCCAGCUUGACUGCGAGCGUGACGGCGCGAGCAGGUGCGAAAGCAGGUCAUAGUGAUCCGGUGGUUCUGAAUGGAAGGGCCAUCGCUCAACGGAUAAAAGGUACUCCGGGGAUAACAGGCUGAUACCGCCCAAGAGUUCAUAUCGACGGCGGUGUUUGGCACCUCGAUGUCGGCUCAUCACAUCCUGGGGCUGAAGUAGGUCCCAAGGGUAUGGCUGUUCGCCAUUUAAAGUGGUACGCGAGCUGGGUUUAGAACGUCGUGAGACAGUUCGGUCCCUAUCUGCCGUGGGCGCUGGAGAACAGGGGGGGGCUGCUCCUAGAACGAGAGGACCGGAGUGGACGCAUCACUGGUGUUCGGGUUGUCAUGCCAAUGGCACUGCCCGGUAGCUAAAUGCGGAAGAGAUAAGUGCUGAAAGCAUCUAAGCACGAAACUUGCCCCGAGAUGAGUUCUCCCUGACCCUUUAAGGGUCCUGAAGGAACGUUGAAGACGACGACGUUGAUAGGCCGGGUGUGUAAGCGCAGCGAUGCGUUGAGCUAACCGGUACUAAUGAACCGUGAGGCUUAACC